rnacentral:rRNA from 1 species
AUUGAACGCUGGCGGCAGGCCUAACACAUGCAAGUCGAGCGGAUGAAGGGAGUUUGCUCCUGGAUUCAGCGGCGGACGGGUGAGUAAUGCCUAUGAAUCUGCCUGGUAGUGGGGGAUAACGUCCGCAAACGGGCGCUAAUAUCGCAUACGUCCUGUGGGAGAAUGUGGGUGAUCUUCCGACCUCACGCUUUCAGAUGAGCCUAGGUCGGAUUAGCUAGUUGGUGGGGUAAAGGCCUACCAAGGCGACGAUCCGUAACUGGUCUGAGAGGAUGAUCAGUCACACUGGAACUGAGACACGGUCCAGACUCCUACGGGAGGCAGCAGUGGGGAAUAUUGGACAAUGGGCGAAAGCCUGAUCCAGCCAUGCCGCGUGUGUGAAGAAGGUCUUCGGAUUGUAAAGCACUUUAAGUUGGGAGGAAGGGCAGUAAGUUAAUACCUUGCUGUUUUGACGUUACCAACAGAAUAAGCACCGGCUAACUUCGUG